UACGUAGGUGGCAAGCGUUGUCCGGAUUUACUGGGCGUAAAGAGCGCGCAGGCGGUCGAGUAAGUCGAAUGUGAAAGCCCCCGGCUUAACUGGGGAGGGUCAUUCGAUACUGUUCGACUUGAAGGCAGGGGAGGGCAGCAGAAUUCCCGGUGUAGUGGUGAAAUGCGUAGAUAUCGGGAGGAACACCAAUGGCGAAGGCAGCUCGCUGGGACGGUACUGACGCUGAGACGCGAAAGCGUGGGGAGCAAACAGG
rnacentral:rRNA from 1 species